rnacentral:lncRNA from 1 species
UCCUGAUGAACAUUUUAGAGCUAAAGCCUUGAAUAAACUUAAAAUUAUAUUAUUAGAUCCCUGAUGUCUUUUCCCUAAAGUGAACCAGAUGCAUGUGACUGGUGCUUACAGAACUGUUGAAACAGGAGGAGCCAUCUAUUGAUGAGCAUAACAUGCAGGAAGAAAAACAGGAAGCUGCUUGUAAUUAUGAACAUGAUUCCAGUGAUGAUUGAGUUAGUAGCCUCCACAGGCUCCAACCAAGAAGAUGCCGUCUGCAAUGCCUGUGUCCCAUAUUCGUGUGCCUGGGUUCAAGCCCUACCUCUCCUGUCCAGGGAGGUUGAAGUCAGUGGAUGCGUGCCCAGUCUCCCCGGCUGCUGGGGGGACAGUUCUGAAACAUGGAAGUCGUGGUUUCUUCACAAGUCCCUAGGGGAAUAAAGCACUAAUCGUCCUCAUUGCUAACGAGCCCUCUGCACGUGCUCUUUACCAGCUUUCGCCUUUCCCUGCUGCUUGCUUCCCGCUUCCUCACCCUUUCUUUCCUGAGACUUUUCCCGAAAUAAAUGACCUGUGCCCGAGCCCUUGUCUCA